rnacentral:rRNA from 1 species
CAGUAGCCACGGUAAUACCAGCACCUCGAGUGGUCAGGAGGUUUAUUGGGCCUAAAGCAUCCGUAGCCGGUUGCAUAAGUUUUCGGUUAAAUCUAUGCGCUUAACGUAUAGGCCGCCGAAAAUACUGUGCAGCUAGGGAGUGGGAGAGGUACACGGUACUCGAUAGGAAGGGGUAAAAUCCUUUGAUCUAUUGAUGACCACCUGUGGCGAAGGCGGUGUACCAGAACACGUUCGACGGUGAGGGAUGAAAGCUGGGGGAGCAAACCGGAUUAGAUACCCCAGUAGUCCCUGUCUCUUAUAC